GUGCUCACUUUGGCAGCACUUACACUAAAAUUGGAAUGACGCAGAAACUACUAUAGCCUCUGCACAAAGAUGACAUGCAAAUUUGUGAAACAUUACAUGUUUUU
ensembl:snRNA U6 U6 spliceosomal RNA